rnacentral:rRNA from 1 species
CGAUGGAGGGGGAUAACUACUGGAAACGGUAGCUAAUACCGCAUAACGUCGCAAGACCAAAGAGGGGACCUUCGGGCCUCUUGCCAUCGGAUGUGCCCAGAUGGGAUUAGCUAGUAGGUGGGGUAAAGGCUCACCUAGGCGACGAUCCCUAGCUGGUCUGAGAGGAUGACCAGCCACACUGGAACUGAGACACGGUCCAG